rnacentral:lncRNA from 1 species
AUGAAUGAGUUUGGAGUUACCCCGACAGGAUUGCAUCUUCAGGAGGACCCGAAAGCUUUUGAGAUAUCCCCAGUGUUGUGGUGGUUUUGGGUUGGAGAUUCAGGCAGCCUGCUUCUUCUUUCCUCCAAACCAUUAUGCUCCACGUGCCUAUCCAGGACCAGGACUAAACCUGGAUGUUUACGGGAGAAAGGAGGGACUGCGGAAAGAGCAGAGCAAGAUGCGAGUCUACAGCGGGGACCCUGUCAAGCCUCCUCUCUCCUGGGGUUCCCUAACAGACAAAAACAAAACAGAUUUGCCUUUGGUCUUCCAGCACCAACAUGUCUUGGCUUGAAAAAAAUUUUCGCUGGUUAUUCUGCGCAUGUUUUUUGAUAAUGUGACUUAUGAGAAUAUAUCUUGUAUAAAUAAAUGAAUAUAUAUAUAUAUCAUAUAUAAAAAUACAUAUAUAUACAUAUAUAUGUAACUCUAUAAAUAUAGAUAUAAAAUUAUAUGGCAUUUCAUGCCUGGUUGUGGGAACAUCCACCAAGGAGGAAAGAACAUUGCCCAAAAGGGUGUGUAAGAUGCUUAUAUGACGUUACGAUUAAACAGCAUGUGGUUUUUGCCAUUGUGGUUGGUGGUUUUAUUUCUAUGGGGAGCUUUCACCAGGUCCAUGGAUACUGAAGUGCAAGCUAGAUCUCUGAACAGAAGAAAAAGGCCAGACCUCUGGAAGAUACCAGGAAGUCAAAACAACUAAUCAUUUUUCUAUGUAACAUCGUUUCUCUAUCCUGAUAAUUUUAACCGAUGUUUAUAUUUCAAUUUCCAGAAUAAUUUUUUCCAGAAUAUACACAAUUUAGUGUAGGUAAUACACAUAGCAAAAUAGAUACUCUAACUUGCAGUCUUAAAUCUGUUCUAUUUAUGUCCCUUUUUCAUAUCUAUAUAUUAAUCUUUCUUUUUCUCUUUUCUUUUUUACUUUUUUCUUUUCCUUUUUCUUCUUUAUUACUAUUAUAUUAUUAUUGUAUUAUAAAAGAAAUCUUAAUAAAAAGUAUUAAAAAUAAAAAAUAAACAAAUCCCUAUAUGCUUCAGGUCCAACCUAAAACAAAAACAGAAGAAAAAGGCCAGAGCUGAAAAGGCACCUCGGAUAUAUCCAUCACUUUCGAACAGUAUCUUGACGAAAGCAUCAUAUUUCUCCGUGCAAUUAGAAGUGACAUUGCUGUAUGUGCAGUUUUCCCAGUCAGCGUCCGGCACAACAUUGGUGUUCUAGUGGGUUGCAGAGAGCAGCCCGCUCACAGCCAAAACUAUGUACAAUAGAAUCUCACGUAUCCAACAUUCGCUUAUCCAACGUUCUGGAUUAUCAAACACAUUUUUGUAGUCAAUGUUUUCAAUACAUCAUGAUAUUUAGGUGCUAAAUUUGUAAAUACAGUAAUUACUACAUAGCAUUACUGAGAAUUGAACAACUUUUUCUGUCAAACUUGUUGUAUAACAUGAUGCUUUGGUGCUUAAUUUGUAAAAUCAUAACCUAAUUUGAUGUUUAAUAGGCUUUUCCUUAAUCCUUCCUUAUUAUCCAACAUAUUCGCUUAUCCAACAUUCUGCCAGCCCGUUUAUGUUGGAUAAGUGAGAAUCUACUGUACCUGUAAAUACUUUGUUGCUAAUGAGAAGACAUCCCAUUCUUUCCCGAUCCAAUUGUAGGCACUUUCAGACAACACCAAAUUGUGGGUUUUAGUCAGAGGCAAAAAAACUCAGGACCUGUGAAGAGAUCCACAUACAGACCUGUAGGUCCCAGGAUUUCUGCCUUCGUCGUCCACACUUACUGCUUUGUCCUGGGAUUUUGCAGCCCCCAAGAUGGCUGCUCCAGGACAUCUGCUAGAAAUUUCAGCUUUUUUUUUAAAAUGAAGAUGCAAAUAUGCAAAUCAUUAUAUAAGUUCUAUUCCUGAGAUAUAGAGGCUGUGUGGCCAACUGUGCAUACAGAUUUGGUCAUAUACUAAUGCCUGGGAACUAUGGGGGGUGCUGUUCCUGGGUUAUAAUCAUCAUCAUCAUCAUCAUCAUCUUUAUGUUUAUAUCCCACCCCAUCUCCCCGAAGGGACUCGGGGCGGCUCACAACAGAACAUACAUAUACAUAUAUGUUCUUCAUUGCUGUUAUUGUAAAAAGGUGUACAGUGUUGACUAGAGGGUGACAACUUUGUCCUGGUAAGAGAAACUUUGCCCUCCACAUGUUCAGUGAAGUUUCUGGCACACAAACAAAGUUUAUUGGGUAGGAGCACUACUGUCCAAGUCAGGACUACACAAUCAAACAGGAACACACACUUUCAAGCCAGGAGCACAACUUAGUCAUUAUUAUCACUUUUUAGAGGCUGCCUAGGCAUCUGUGCAGACAGGUUUUGUGGUGUACUACUUUCCCUGGUGGCACAGUAUGUUAAAGCACUGAGCUGCUGAACUUGCGGACCAAAAGGUGCCAGGUUCAAAUCCCGGGAGUGGAAUGAGCACCCACUGUUAGCCCCAGCUCCUGCCAACCUAGCAGUUCGAAAACAUGCCAAUGUGAGUAGAUCAAUAGGUACCGCUCAGGCGGGAAGGUAACGGCGCUCCAUGCAGUCAUGCCAGCCACAUGACCUUGGAGGUGUCUACGGACAAUGCCGGCUUUUCAGCAUAGAAAUGGAGAUGAGCACCAACCCUCAGAGUCUGUCACGACUGGACUUAAUGUCAGGGGAAACCUUUACCUUACCUACUUUCUGUGAAAGUACUUGUUGCACCCCAGGAACUUUGUUUUUCUGCCACAAACUUCAUUAAACUGGUGAAGGACAAAGUUCCUCUUGCUAGGACAAAGUUUUCAUCUUCUACUCAACUGCCAACCUUUUUUUAGCAUACAACCAAUCAGGAACCGGCAUCGAAAAGCCGGGAACAAACCCAGAUAAAAAAUCUUGUUUUCCAGCUGUAGGGAUAUGCAGACAUUCGAAGUUGUGCAUUUUCAGGCCAGAACCAGGAUAAUCCCACACCUGAAAAUCUUGCGGUUUUUGCCAUUUGUAGCGAUUGCGCCCGCAUUUUCAGGGGACGGCAUUUGCCCACCCUUCAUUUUGAUGUAGGGGCUCCUGGCAUAAAGAUACUGUCUGGAUAAGCCCUGUAUCACAAUGACCAUAGGAGUUAUCUCAAGUCAUGAUAAUGCAGCACCUCAUAAUUCCCUGCUGUAGCAUCUAAUUAUAUGGUGGUAACAGGCACAUCUAAAAACCCUAAAGGCACAGAUUCCAUUUGGUCUUGGAAACUAUGCAGGAUCAGCCCUGGUUAGUAUUUGGAUGAGAGGCUUCAAAGGAAUACCAGGUGUCGUCGGUUGUAUUUCAGAAGAAGGAAUUGGCAAAACCAACCCUUCAGUAUUCCCUAAGAUAGAGAUUCUCAAACUUUUUCAGCCAUGGAGCCCUUUUUGAAGCAAAAGUUUCUUGUAGAGCUCCAAGAAAUAUUUAUAUUUUGUAUUAUAAAUUAUAUAUAAUGUAUAUAUAUGUGUAUACACACACACAGGAGCCCCGGUGGCGAAGUGCGUUAAAGCAGUGAGCUGCUGAACUUGCAGACCGAAAGGUCCCAGGUUCAAAUCCUGGGAGCGGCUCCAGCUCCUGCCAACCUAGCAGUUUGAAAACACGCAAAUGUGAGUAGAUCAAUAGGUACUGCUCUGGCGGGAAGGUAACGGCGCUCCAUGCAGUCAUGACGGCCACAUGACCUUGGAGGUGUCUACGGACAACGCUGGCUCUUCGGCUUAGAAAUGGAGAUGAGCACCAACCCCCAGAGUCAGACAUGACUGGACUUAACGUCAGGGGAAACCUUUACCUUUACUUAUACACACACACACAUACACACACACACACACACACACACAUAUAUAUAUGACAUGGGCUGGGCCAGUAGCAGAUAAAUGGAGAGAGUUUGUGAACUAAUUCACACAGUGCAAUGCAAUAAAUAUGUGUGUGUGUGUGUGUGUGUGUAUAGUAUUUAAAAUUAAGAACAAUUUUAACCAACAUAAACUUAAUAGUAAUUCAGACCCUCCCAGAGUCAUCCAGUCCAAACGUCUGCUAUGCAAGAAAAACACAAUCAAACAACCCCAAAAGAUGGCCAUUCAGCCUUUGUAAUAAUAAUAAUAAUUAUAAUAAGCAAAAGGCCACCCUACUGGGAUCUGCACGCAUCAUCCGAAAAUACAUCACACAGUCCUAGACACUUGGGAAGUGUUCGACUUGUGAUUUUGUGAUACGAAAUCCAGCAUAUCUAUCUUGUUUGCUGUGUCAUAAUAAAAAUAAUAAAAAUAAUUGAAACCCUAGCCUCUGAGCUUCUCUUGUAGAGCCCCAAGGGCUCCCUAGAGCAGUUUGAGAACCGCUGUCCUAAGAAAUACCCUUAAAAUCCCUUCACUAAGAAAACCCUAUGAAAUUCAUUAGGCUGACUGACAAUUUGAAGGCACAUAUAUACAAGAACAUUCACCAUACAAUGAUGGCAUAACCCAAAGUAACACUUACAAUAUAUUGUAGAAGGAUACUGGCUUGUGUCCUCCUAAAUGCAGUGGAUCUCAAUCUGU